GACUGCUUUCGCACAGUAACACUGACAAUGAUAAUUAUACACUUCCCCUGUACUUUGACAUGGUUGACGUGUAGUUUAUAGAAGCUUCGAUUCUGUGUACCUUCAAGAGAAGUUUUUUCGAUUCCAAGCUUUUUGUUCGUUUCGUAUAGAAGUUUAUGUUCGUUAAGUGUGUCGACUUUCGGUACUACGCUGCGAAUGUUAAUAAGGUGGACAGUGUAAAUAACGGUGACAUAACUGAAAUGAAGGUUAUGUGCCCGGUCUAUACAAUUUUGAGAUUAUGUUGUUUUUGGUAAUUACUAUAAGUAUACAAGUGCUCUGUUGACAAACUCGAUGAUCACCGAUGUUGACAUGGGAUCAAGAUCGCAUUUACGUAUUUAUGUUUAUCAUAUUAUUUUAAUUGGAACUAGGUAUAUACGAAUAAUUAAAUAUAAUGUUAAAUUUCCAUCUUGACACUUUCUAGAGGCAUCGGCUAAAGUUAUUACACAGACUGGAAGCGAAAAGUAGGAAACUGUCGAGGAAAAGGCAGCCGGACACCUUUCUCGUUAAUAGAGAACGGCGGAACUCUUUCUAUCAACUUUCUAGUCCCGUCACGGCAAUUAGCAAAGUACCUGCACGUGCGGAUAAAUCCUCUCGUGGCAGAAGCGCGACUUAUUUAUGACCAUCCGCGUCCCGAGACCCGACUAAAGGGUUAAAAGCGAAACAAUGCCACGGUCGACAUUGUUUUGAUGCGGUCAGAACUGAGGAAGAUCGGUGAAAAGGCGCAUAAACCCUCACGUCGUGUGCCAGUUUUCCCAAACGGAAGCUUCGACGUGAAACUCGUUGGUUUUUCCAUCCGCUGACAUUUUCUCUCUGUACGAAAAUUGCCAAUAAAAAGAUUUGUCUGUUCGACCGCUAGAAUUCUUGCGGCUUGGAUAAAAUUUUCUAAUUUGAUGCAAAGAUCGAUAUUUGUUGUCGAGUUUUUUUUUAGGAAGAAUCGAUAAUAUUAGCUUUUCAUUUCUCUUCUCUUUCCAAAAUCUUUUUCUUUUGAUAUGAAAUAUGUUAAUUCAAGAUGCAGUUUGAAUUUCACAAAAUUUUAAUUUAAUAUUGUGG
rnacentral:misc_RNA from 1 species